GCACCGUCCCCGCCGCCGCCCGAGCCCGAGCCCGAGCCCGCGCACCCGCCCGCGCCGCCGCCGCCGCCGCCCGAACAGCCUCCCAGCCUGGGCCCCCGGCGGCGCCGUGGCCGCGUCCCGGCUGUCGCCGCCCGAGCCCGAGCCCGCGCGCCGGCGGGUGGCGGCGCAGGCUGAGGAGAUGCGGCGCGGAGCGCCGGAGCAGGGCUAGAGCCGGCCGCCGCCGCCCGCCGCGGUAAGCGCAGCCCCGGCCCGGCGCCCGCGGGCCAUUGUCCGCCGCCCGCCCCGCGCCCCGCGCAGCCUGCAGGCCUUGGAGCCCGCGGCAGGUGGACGCCGCCGGUCCACACCCGCCCCGCGCGCGGCCGUGGGAGGCGGGGGCCAGCGCUGGCCGCGCGCCGUGGGACCCGCCGGUCCCCAGGGCCGCCCGGCCCCUUCUGGACCUUUCCACCCGCGCCGCGAGGCGGCUUCGCCCGCCGGGGCGGGGGCGCGGGGGUGGGCACGGCAGGCAGCGGCGCCGUCUCCCGGUGCGGGGCCCGCGCCCCCCGAGCAGGUUCAUCUGCAGAAGCCAGCGGACGCCUCUGUUCAACUUGUGGGUUACCUGGCUCAUGAGACCUUGCCGGCGAGGCUCGGCGCUUGAACGUCUGUGACCCAGCCCUCACCGUCCCGGUACUUGUAUGUGUUGGUGGGAGUUUGGAGCUCGUUGGAGCUAUCGUUUCCGUGGAAAUUUUGAGCCAUUUCGAAUCACUUAAAGGAGUGGACAUUGCUAGCAAUGAGCUCCCAAAGCCAUCCAGAUGGACUUUCUGGCCGAGACCAGCCAGUGGAGCUGCUGAAUCCUGCCCGCGUGAACCACAUGCCCAGCACGGGUAAGUCCGCCCACCCCUGCCCUGUCCGGCCGGCCCUGCGCUGAGCCAAAGAGGUGUUCAGACGCUCUGCCUUAUUGGAGGAGUGCAGAGAGGGCGAGGGGGGAGGUGUGGGGUAUCAGGUUCACUGAAUUUGGGUGCUCUUCCUGGUGGUAAAAGAGGCCAUCCUUUUUGGAAAUGAAAUGGCUCCGUGCCAUGUAAAUGGUAGAGAAAUGCUGAUUUUUUGUUGUUUUUUUUCUCUCUGGUGCUAAAGGAUGUGUUCUUCCCAAAGGCACCAACUGCCUGGCUUAGGUGUAACCCCUGGCCCUGAUCCCCGUGAGGGCCUGUAGGAAAGACCUCUGAGCUUGCAGUGGGCGGGGCUGGGUCCCACUGGCCACGUGACCGUGGACAGACCGCGCCUUUUCCAUUGCCACCAGCUUUUGUUGGUUAAAUGAGUCAGUGGCAUCAUCUGUCUUCCAAGUACCUUUCAGCUCUUUAACAAAAAAAAGUAUCGGUGGUGAUCAGAAAUAUUUCAUUCCAUAGGUAAUUUUUAGUUAUUUAUGCAUUUGUCUAUUUGGAGACGGAAUCUCACUCUGUCGCCCAGGCUGGAGUGGAGUGGCGUAAUCUUGGCUCACUGCAACCUCCACCUCCCGGGUUCAAGCGAUUCUCCUGCCUCAGUCUCCCCAAGUAGCUGGGAUUACAGGUGUGUGCCACCACACCUGGCUAAUUUUGCAUUUUUAGUAGAGACGGGGUUUUACCAUGUUGGCCAGGCUGGUCUUGAACUCCUGAGCUCAAGUAAUCUGCCUGCCUCGGCCUCCCAAAGUGCUGGAAUUACAGGCGUGAGCCACCGCGCCCAGCCCCAUAGGUAACAUUUUAAGGUACUCCAAGUCUAUAGGCCAUGGAAACAGACUUUUUCCCCCUUUUCUUUGUCUGUAAAACCCGUUUCCACAUAGAAUCCUCCAGGGUUUAAACUCCUUGUGAGGGUACCAUUCUUCCCAGCCAUGCAGCCUCUCCGAGAAUAAAACCUGAACCUCCUGAUGGCGUGGGGCUGAGGGAACCAGUGUUCCGUUCCACAUGCGUCCUGCAGGGCAGUGUGGCUGGGCCUUGCAGGGACUGCGUCCCGAGGCCUGGGUCUCUGGUUUUGGCUCUGCUGCACCUUCCUUGACAGUCAGCCUUUGCUGCCGCCUGUGCCCUC
rnacentral:lncRNA from 1 species